GCUUACGGCCAUACCAACUUAGGCACGCCCGAUCUCGUCUGAUCUCGGAAGCUAAGCAGGGUCGGGCCUGGUUAGUACUUGGAUGGGUGACGGCCUGGGAAUACCAGGUGCUGUAAGCA
rnacentral:rRNA from 1 species